rnacentral:lncRNA from 1 species
CUUAUUUAUGAACUAAAUUCUAGUUGAUCUUCCUAUAUAUGAAGAAUUAUGAAAUAAAAUUUCAUUCAAUGAAUUCAAGCUAAAAAUAUAAGCGGUUCAAAAAUAAAAUUAAUGAAUAUAUACCUCAUUCAACAUGUAAAUGAUUACUAAUAAUUACAUAAAAAAGUAAAAAUUGAAUCAAAUGAACAAGAUAGAUUUAAUACCGCUUA